GAUUCAUAAAACCUUGAUAUCUGGGUGUUUUGUAUAUCCAUUUUUUUUCAUUCAACAAAAAUAUACUUCUUCAGCUUCUGUUAUGUUUUCAACAUUAACCAGAGUGCUGGGCUUACAGAGAAAAAUACACAAUUUCUUGCCCCCAUGAGCUGGACUCCAUGGGAAUAGAAGAUAGAAAGUUACAUUGCAUUACUGUGCCUGGAGCAGGAAGAGCUGAGAGCUGGAGAGAAAACAGCACAGUCAAGUAGAAUAAUAGAGGGAAGAUGAACAAUGAACAGACUAUUUAGAAAGUGCCUCUAAUUGACCAAAACUAGCCAUCAGUGAGAGCAAGGGAGCCCAGUUUAUGCAGUCCUUAAAGAUCCUUCCCAGAGGUACAGAGCAGGGUGGAUGGAGAAGAGGGACAAUGAAUCUAGAAUGUCCAGCAUAGUGA